rnacentral:misc_RNA from 1 species
GAUGAAGAACGUAGCGAAAUGCGAUAAGUAAUGUGAAUUGCAGAAUUCAGUGAAUCAUCGAAUCUUUGAACGCACAUUGCGCCCGCCAGUAUUCUGGCGGGCAUGCCUGUUCGAGCGUCAUUACAACCCUCAGGCCCCCGGGCCUGGCGUUGGGGAUCGGCGGAGCCCCCCGUGGGCACACGCCGUCCCCCAAAUGCAGUGGCGGUCCCGCCGCAGCUUCCAUCGCGUAGUAGCUAACACCUCGCGACUGGAGAGCGGCGCGGCCACGCCGUAAAACACCCAACUCUUCUGAAGUUGACCUCGAAUCAGGUAGGAAUACCAGCUGAACUUAAGCAUAUCAAUAAGCGGAGGA